rnacentral:rRNA from 1 species
UGGGGAAUAUUGCACAAUGGGGGAAACCCUGAUGCAGCGACGCCGCGUGAGCGAUGAAGGCUUUCGAGUCGUAAAGCUCUGUCCUAUGGGAAGAUAAUGACGGUACCAUAGAAGAAAGCCCCGGCUAAUUACGUGCCAGCAGCCGCGGUAAUACGUAAGGGGCGAGCGUUGUCCGGAAUUAUUGGGCGUAAAGAGUGCGUAUGCAGCAAAUUAAGUCAGAUGUGAAAACUAAGGGCUCAACCCAUAGAUUGCAUCUGAAAAUGAUUUACUUGAGUAUAGGAGAGGAAAGUGGAAUUCCUAGUGGAGCGGUGGAAUGCGUAGAUAAUAGGAGGAAUACCGGUGGCGAAGGCGACUUUCGGGACUUGAACUGAAGCUGAGGCACGAAAGCGGGGGGAGCAAACAGG